rnacentral:tRNA from 1 species
GCCUGGGUGGCUCAGUCGGUUGAGCGUCUGACUUCGGCUCAGGUCACGAUCUCACGGUUCGUGGGUUCGAGCCCCACGUGGGGCC